AUUGAACGCUGGCGGCAGGCCUAACACAUGCAAGUCGAGCGGUGACAGGGGAAGCUUGCUUCCCGCUGACGAGCGGCGGACGGGUGAGUAAUGUAUGGGGAUCUGCCCGAUAGAGGGGGAUAACUACUGGAAACGGUAGCUAAUACCGCAUAAUCUCUAAGGAGCAAAGCAGGGGAACUUCGGUCCUUGCGCUAUCGGAUGAACCCAUAUGGGAUUAG
rnacentral:rRNA from 1 species